CUACGGUCCUCGCGUUUGCGAACAAAAGGCGUAUCCUUGUGCUGAGGACUCUGGGUCCCGCGCUGGCCUCUUUGUGGCGAGUCACGGUUAAUGACCCUGAGCUAGGCGGUCAGUUCGACGCAAACAGAAGAUGAUUACAACAUACGUCGUCUCUGAAAUUGCUAGUCCUUGGAUGCAUUUUCAUUUUCUUGAAAAGCCGGAAGAAGUAACUACAAAAAUGUUAAACUCUGGUACAACAGCCCACACCAAGAGCAGACCAGAGUGAGGUUGCUCAUCGAUUUACAGAUUUGGGAGAAGGACAUUUCAACGGCGUGAUAUUGGUUACCUUUUCUCAACAUCUCCAGAAAUGCCCCUUUGAGGAACAC